UAGUGGCGAACGGGUGAGUAACACGUGGGCAAUCUGCCCUUCACUCUGGGACAAGCCCUGGAAACGGGGUCUAAUACCGGAUAUCACUCCUGCAGGCAUCUGCGGGAGUUGAAAGCUCCGGCGGUGAAGGAUGAGCCCGCGGCCUAUCAGCUUGUUGGUGAGGUAAUGGCUCACCAAGGCGACGACGGGUAGCCGGCCUGAGAGGGCGACCGGCCACACUGGGACUGAGACACGGCCCAGACUCCUACGGGAGGCAGCAGUGGGGAAUAUUGCACAAUGGGCGAAAGCCUGAUGCAGCGACGCCGCGUGAGGGAUGACGGCCUUCGGGUUGUAAACCUCUUUCAGCAGGGAAGAAGCGAAAGUGACGGUACCUGCAGAAGAAGCGCCGGCUAACUACGUGCCAGCAGCCGCGGUAAUACGUAGGGCGCAAGCGUUGUCCGGANUUAUUGGGCGUAAAGAGCUCGUAGGCGGCUUGUCACGUCGGGUGUGAAAGCCCGGGGCUUAACCCCGGGUCUGCAUUCGAUACGGGCUAGCUAGAGUGGGGUAGGGGAGAUCGGANUUCCU
rnacentral:rRNA from 1 species